UUUUUUUUAAACUGAUUAGUAAUUUAUGUGUUCCUGGUGUUGUGAUAAUUAUGGAGUGAGUUUUUAACGAUUUUAAAUUUAAAAAAUUCAAUAUUUUUUUAAUCCUUUUUUUAUGAUUCUAAAAUUAACAAUCCUGAAAUCGACAGACAAUCAACAAUGUUCGGAUUUUUUUCCCAUUGGUCAAUUACAUAAAAAAAAAAAAUAUGCGCAUGCAGAAAAAUUAAAGAACUACUGGUGCAUUUUUUUAAAAUAUUUUUUUUUUUAUAAUUUAUCGUUUUUACAAAAAUCGAAUAAUUUUUAGACGUCCGCAAACUUCAGGGUCAUAAAUUAACAUGAUAAUGAUAGUGAAGUUAGCCCUGUUUAAAAAUAUUGAUUGAAAAGAAUUAAAAGUGAUGAAAUUCGAAUUCUUUUCAAUAAUUUCAAUUGAUUUCAAUUUUUUUGUUUGUAUAUAUAGAUAUACAGUUUGCAUGGAGUGACCGCUUCUCAAUUAUUUUCAAUCAAUAUUUUUAAUCAGGGAGUCGACGUCUAUUAAUAUUUGGAUUAUUUUUUAAAAUGAUGGACUUAAGAAAAACAAAAUAUUUGAAAAAAGACACAGAAUUUUUUUAAUUUUCUACAGGUGCAUAUUUUUUAUUUUUUUUUUUCUUGUAAAUGAUUCAUUGAAAACAAAAUUCAAAAUUGACAAUUGUCUGCUAACUUCAGGAUCAUGAAUUUUUAAACUUAUUGUUGUUCCAAUGAGAGCUCGAGAUUUUUCCCCACUACUUUUUUUUGCGCCGCCAUUUUAAAAUUCAAAAAAACUGCGGUAGUGGGGAGGAAGAACUCUAGAGAAGGAACAAAAUCCAAACUCACCACUGGUCCGAGGCCACUAUCCAACUCAUUUCCUUUGUUUUCUAUUCAAAAUCCAUUUUUUUCUCUUCAUUUUAUAUUAUUUUAAAUAAACAUGGAUAUAUUUUUUAAAAAUAUAUGGAUCAGUCUGAAAAUUGUCUUCAUUAUUGAGAGCAAUAGCGCCAGACCAAAGACCUCGUUUACUCCUGUACUUGAGGAGAUUCUAGGUCUCUUUGAAGCUUGGAUGGGCAAGUUGAGUCAAGUGGUUGAGUAAAUCGGGCGGCCCUUGAACGAUGAAUUGACAAGUGGUGACUUGUAUAUAUACUUUUAUAUACACACAUCUCCUCCAGAGCACACAUACCUCGAUACCUAAAUAUACAUCCGUACACACAUACGUCGAUACACAAAGCUGUCGUAAAUAUAUUCAGUAACAGCCUUCGUUUCCGAUCAACACUUUCGCGUGUAGCUGACGUACAACACACUCGGAGACAUUAUAAUGAGAAACUGGUUUUGUAUUCAUCAGCGUACGAGAAAACAUUGAAAAAUACCGGGGUUUUAAUGUA